GAUGAACGCUGGCGGCAUGCCUAAGACAUGCAAGUCGAACGAGAUGGCCCAGUGAAGGUUGAGUGCUUGCACGAGACUGAAUCUGGAUUCCCAUCUAGUGGCAGACGGGUGAGUAACACGUGGGUGACCUACCUUUUCGUUGGGGAUAACAGUUGGAAACGAUUGCUAAUACCGAAUAAAAUGUAAGAGUCAAUUUUACAUUGAAAGGAGCCUUUAAAGCUUCGCGAUUAGAUGGGCCUGCGGCGUAUUAACUAGUUGGUGAGGUAAUGGCUUACCAAGGUGACGAUGCGUAGCCGAACUGAGAGGUUGAUCGGCCACAUUGGGACUGAGACACGGCCCAAACUCCUACGGGAGCAGCAGUUAGGAAGUAUU
rnacentral:rRNA from 1 species